UCUUGUUUUGAUGAACUUAGCAUUGCCAGCACAGAGCAUCAUCCUGAUGCCAUUUUCUGUUUGUUUUAUUAACAGGACAACAGGAUGUUUCUGCAAAGGAGGAGAUGAAAACUGGGGCAGAUUCCCAAAGCUCCUGCAUGGAAAUAGAAGAGACACUGCUGAACCAAGAAGACACAACAGAAGUUGAGACACCUUUGAUUCCUGGUGCAGAGGAAAAGGAAGAAGGAAAAGAAGAAGAAGGAGGGAUGCAAGGGCAAGAGGAAACUUCUGUGGAGCCUAUGAAAAUUGACCUUGCAAGUGAAGCAGCAGCCAUUUCAAAUAAGGAUGCUGAAAUGAAUAGUCAAGUUGAAAGUAUAAAUGAUCCUAUGGAAACAGAGCGGAAAGCUUAAGUAACAGGAAGGAUGCAGGAGAGGAGAGACCCGAGGAAACGCGACGGGCAGGCGCUGACAUCCUACAGCAUCAUUCUUGGCAGAAAAGAGCACACAGAGAUGCUCCGCGGGUUGGGAGGGAGGGAGCUUUGGGGGAAUGACUCUUUGCUUUAAUUUCUCUUUGUUCUUCAUUGCAUUUUGUUCUGUAAGCCUGUUGGAAAGAAUCAUAACUUCCCAGUUCUAACAAUGUUUUGCAGUUAUCCUUGCAAUUACAACAGUUUCUUCUGAACUGUGAGUCCCUGUCUUAUAUUGGGUCUCUUUUCCUCCUGCAUCAUAUCAUCAGUCACCUGUUUCCAGGCCCACCCCUUUUCUAGCAUCUUUAUCUUCUUUCCCAUGAUCAGCCUAUGCUGUGCCAUGUCCCUACCUGUGAAUAGCACAUGUGGCCUCAAACUGCCAGCACCCCAAAUCUGUCCUGCUUUUUUUUCUGGUUAGUUCUGCAUGCCCCAAAACCAGGGCCAUAAGUAUGACCUUUGGGUACAGGUAGGCAACAGACAUUUCCUCAAGCCUGCAGGCACUCUGCAUUCGAGGCAUCUUUGAAUACAGCUCUCAGCUUUAACAGCUUCACACUGUACCUUGUGUGAGCCCUCAUUAGAUUUUCCACUGCAUAUGCAUGAUUUUCUUUCUGUUUUUUUUUUUUUUAAAGCAAUUAAGAGUUAUUUGGAUAAGAAUGUCUCACCAUAUGUCAAUUGUUCUGCCAGCAAAUGCUGCGCUGAAAUUUGUAAAAAACUAACAAAAGGGUUGCACAUACAUUUCCCAACCGUGCUGUAACCAAAACUGACGGACAAUACACCGGAUGGAAGAACACACAACCCGUGUCCAGGGCUACAAAAUGUAUUUUAAAAUGCUGCUAAGAAUAAUUUGAUCAUUUUGAGCAAAGUAGUUGCUUCUAAUUUGAUAAUUUUAAGCAAAAUAAUUGAUUCCGUGGUUUUUUUUUCUUCACCCAAAAUAUGCGUGAAUCCCCAAAUAAGUAUUUAAAAUAUGGCCAGCAAAAAAAAAAAGAAAAAUAAAGUAAUAAACGAGGUAAGAUAUAUCUCUAUC
rnacentral:lncRNA from 1 species